GUAGUACUCCCUCCGUCUGGAAAUACUUGUCAUCAAAAUGAAUAAAAGGGGAUGUAUAUAGAUGUAUUUUAAUUCUAGAUACAUCCCUUUUUGUCCAUUUUGAUGACGAGUAUUUUUCGGACGGAGGGAGUACUUA
rfam:Triticum aestivum genome assembly, contig: Triticum_aestivum_CS42_TGACv1_scaffold_040762_1BL